rnacentral:lncRNA from 1 species
ACCAAACGACCCCUUCUCUAGAACUUUCAAAAAGGCCCACUUCAACCCCACCUCUGUCUCUCCCUUUUCCUGCUGAAAAAUCCCAUUUUUAUGGCCUAAAAGUUACUGCUACUUCCGCAGCUUCUUCUUCUAGUAGUAAUGUUCAUUUGCGUUCAAAUGGGAAUUCUGGGAGUUCUUUUGUUGCUUCAGCUGUGGUGACUCCUAAUUCUUCUGUGCUUAGUGAAGAGGCCUUUAAGGGGCUAGGGGGUUUUGGGAAAGGCUCUUUCGAUGUUAGUGAGUCUGAAUAUG